UACGGAGGGAGCUAGCGUUGUUCGGAAUUACUGGGCGUAAAGCGCACGUAGGCGGCUUUGUAAGUUAGAGGUGAAAGCCCGGGGCUCAACCCCGGAAUUGCCUUUAAGACUGCAUCGCUUGAAUCCAGGAGAGGUGAGUGGAAUUCCGAGUGUAGAGGUGAAAUUCGUAGAUAUUCGGAAGAACACCAGUGGCGAAGGCGGCUCACUGGACUGGUAUUGACGCUGAGGUGCGAAAGCGUGGGGAGAGAGCAGG
rnacentral:rRNA from 1 species